UCCAGAGAUGGAUUGGUGCCUUCGGGAACGCUGAGACAGGUGCUGCAUGGCUGUCGUCAGCUCGUGUUGUGAAAUGUUGGGUUAAGUCCCGCAACGAGCGCAACCCUUAUCCUUUGUUGCCAGCGAUUCGGUCGGGAACUCAAAGGAGACUGCCGGUGAUAAACCGGAGGAAGGUGGGGAUGACGUCAAGUCAUCAUGGCCCUUACGAGUAGGGCUACACACGUGCUACAAUGGCGCAUACAAAGAGAAGCGACCUCGCGAGAGCAAGCGGACCUCAUAAAGUGCGUCGUAGUCCGGAUCGGAGUCUGCAACUCGACUCCGUGAAGUCGGAAUCGCUAGUAAUCGUGGAUCAGAAUGCCACGGUGAAUACGUUCCCGGGCCUUGUACACACCGCCCGUCACAC
rnacentral:rRNA from 1 species